rnacentral:rRNA from 1 species
GAUGAACGCUGGCGGCACGUCUGACACAUGCAAGUCGAACGGCAAGGAGCAAUCCCUAGAGUGGCGAACGGCUGAGUAACACGUAGGAACCUACCCUCCGGCUCGGGACAACGGUGCGAAAGCGCCGCUAAUACCGGAUAACACCGAAAGGUUGAAAGAUUUAUCACCGGUGGAGGGGCCUGCGGCGUAUUAGCUAGAUGGUGAGGUAACGGCUCACCAUGGCGAUGAUGCGUAGCUGGUCUGAGAGGAUGAUCAGCCAGACUGGGACUGAGACACGGCCCAGACUCCUACGGGAGGCAG